GACGAACGCUGGCGGCGUGCCUAAUACAUGCAAGUAGAACGCUGAAGGAGGAGCUUGCUUCUCUGGAUGAGUUGCGAACGGGUGAGUAACGCGUAGGUAACCUGCCUGGUAGCGGGGGAUAACUAUUGGAAACGAUAGCUAAUACCGCGUAAUAGUAGAUGUUGCAUGACAUUUGCUUAAAAGGUGCAAUUGCAUCACUACCAGAUGGACCUGCGUUGUAUUAGCUAGUUGGUGGGGUAACGGCUCACCAAGGCGACGAUACAUAGCCGACCUGAGAGGGUGAUCGGCCACACUGGGACUGAGACACGGCCCAGACUCCUACGGGAGGCAGCAGUAGGGAAUCUUCGGCAAUGGACGGAAGUCUGACCGAGCAACGCCGCGUGAGUGAAGAAGGUUUUCGGAUCGUAAAGCUCUGUUGUAUGAGAAGAACGAGUGUGAGAGUGGAAAGUUCACACUGUGACGGUAUCUUACCAGAAAGGGACGGCUAACUACGUG
rnacentral:rRNA from 1 species